UGGAAGUCUGGGCUGGAGAUACUAAUAUAGAAAUAGAAGACAUGAGAUGAAAUCACUCAAGAAGAAUUUGUAAAGUAAGAAGACAAAAUACAGGCAAGAGCUUUGAAGAAUAUCAACAUUAAUGGACACUAUAAUCAGAUUGAAGAAUAUCAAACAUUAAUGGACUCCAUAAUCAGAGAGCUUUCCAAAAUGAAAAUCUGAUCACCUUCAUUUAAAAAUCCUUAUACUUCUGGGCAAGAUGGUUACAUGAGCACGGGCAUCCAAUUCUUCCCUUUUAUUCCUGUGAUGGUUAAUUUUAUGUGUCAACCUGAGUGAGCCAUAAGGUGCCCAGAUGAAACAGUUUCUGGGUGUGUCUGUGAGAAUGUUUGUGGAUGAGACUGGCAGUUGAACCAGUGGUUUCAUUAAACUGUUCCCUCCAAUGUGGGUAGGUAUCGAUCAAUCUGUUAGGGCCUGAGUAAAGGUGCAGAGCAAAGAGGAACACACUCCUUUAUUCCUGCCUCACUGCUUGAACUGGGAAUCUCAUCUCAAUCUUCUCCUGCUUUCAGACUGGGAUAGACAUCAUUGACUCCCUGGUUCGGAGGCCUUUGAACUGGGACUGAAUUAUACUACUGGGUUUCCUGGGUUUCCAAUUUACAGACAACAGACUGUGGGACUUAGCCUCCAUAACAGGUACCUCAGUUCUUCUUAACACACCUUCUUUUCUAUCAUGGCAGUUCUGUUUCUCUGAGAAACCCUGAUUAAUACAUGCCCCCUCUCCAUUCCAAACUCCACUGAAUGAAAAGAUCACUGACUAAAGUAAGAAGAAAAUAUCAAGAUUGAAAACUAACCAAAACUUUAAUUUUGCCUGUGUGAGUGAAAUUAGAAUCAAAUUCAGAAGAAAGUCUGUCCAGAGACUUUUCUAGUGUGAGAAUAACUUGCUAGAAAAAGAAGUACAAGGGACCCCAGAGAACUCUGAUUAUUGUCCACACCUUAGAUCCUGCAUCAUGAGAUGCAACACCUCACCUGGUUCCUAUGUAAAAUUAUACUAACUUUGACCUAUAAAGAUUUCUACACAUUUGCCUACAUAUGUUUGAGACAUCAACCUAUACAGUAGUUAUCUAUCUGAAAGAAAUUUUGUCAGAGAUAAGCCCCACAAACUUUAUAACAUAUUCUUGCUCUGAGCAGUUUUAAUAUAUAAAUGUUGGUCCCUAAGCUAAGGUAGGAAAGUCUUACUUUCCAACAAUGGCAAAUACAGAAUGAUGUUGGUAUUCUUUACACACAAAUAUUUGCUUGGGUGGUCAAGUUAUGAAAUAGUCUUACCAUUAAAUGGACAAACAGAAAAAGACUCAAGGACUUAUCUUUCCAGAGGAGUUUUCAGUUAAUUGUUACAUAUUAUGAUAUUUUAGUGUAAGCCGCCUGACACAGACCUAAAGGGUACUACAGAGGGAUAAUGGCACAUGUUAAAGUAAGAUCUUAUUUAUUUGUGAAUAUUACAUUUUGUGUAUUUUGAAGAAUAAGGAGAAUUGGUAGAGAUUGGUAGAGGUAGACAAAUAGGUUUUAGAAUUAUAGUAUGGUACAUAUUUCUUAGAAGGCUAUAUGUAUGUAUAUGUGUAUAUACAUAUAUAUACACACAUAUACAUGUACAUACAUAUACAUAUAUGUAUAUAUAUGUGUAUACACAAAGUAGCUUGGGAUGGAUAGAAUCUUAAUGUAUUCAAAAAUUCAAAACAUAUAUCCAUAGUAGCAACAAACAGUUAUAUGCAUAAGUUAUUUUUAGAGCAGCCUGUCCUACCUAGCAAAGGAAAAGUGCUAGUGAUGAAAUCAGCAUUUAUUUCCUCUGCUGUUAUAAUCUGUGACUUCCUUUUUCAGGCUGAGCAAAAGGCACUCUACUCAGAGAUGCGUGGCUGUGGGACUUGCAGUAUUUGUAUUAUUUGAAACUUAUGGAAAGAUUACUCUGCAUAUACUGAAAAUUUGACAUUGGAGCCUUUAUCUUUUUUCCCCUCAAUUUAAAAUGGAAGGCUAUUGCAAUGAAUGAUGUUAAUUAUGUCCAUUAUUAUCCAAAUGAAUGACAGAAAAGCACAAUGUGAAGGAGGAAUAAUUAACAUGCCUUAUCUUGGCUUAUUUGGGCAGAUAUAAAAGAGGAAACAGAUUAAUGUAACAUAUAGGAAUUACCACAGGUGAGUAUGUAUAGGAGUGGAACUCAGCAAUAGGGAGGCCUGAACAAUUAAAGCUUGUUUUCUAAUUAGUAUGAGCAUCUCUUAAUGUUAACCCAUUAGGGGUGAAACUACUAAAAGUAUAUGUUAAAAAUGUAAAGAAAUAAAUGUUUAGUAUCUGGAGGCCCAGGUCCACAUGAGGACUCACCACCCAGGCAGGGAGAACCUGCAGCUGCUCUGGCAGCAGCCCCAGACACUGACAGGCUCCUGCAGGAGACCGAGGGCCAGAGGAGAAUUCAGCAGCCCUGCAGGGAGAGCCUGCACUGACUGCUCCAGCACCCCCUACACUAGGUCCUGCACUGGCUCUCAAAAGAGCUCCAGGCCAAUUUCCAAAGCCAUCUUCCCCAAGGUCACCUCUGCCCCUGCAAGCGCCCUCCCCAUCAGCUCCCCAAAAACCCCAUCCACCUGCUCCCCCUCCUGAAAUUUACUCUCCUCUCCCUCUUGUGAUUUGUCUUUGGAUGUUUGCUCAUUUCCUGUUCUUCUUCCAUAUUAUUUAUGGUAUACUUUAUGUUUUAAGAAUAAAAUUAGAAAGUUGGGGAAAAAAA